rnacentral:misc_RNA from 1 species
GAUGAAGAACGCAGCGAAAUGCGAUAAGUAAUGUGAAUUGCAGAAUUCAGUGAAUCAUCGAAUCUUUGAACGCACCUUGCACCCUUUGGCAUUCUGAAGGGUAUGCUCGUUUGAGUGUCAUUGUACUCUCACACUCCCGAUCUUUGCAUUGGGAGCAGUGGACUUGGGUUUGCUGCUUCACCGUCGCUUACCUCAAAUAGGUUAGUGCAACUCUUGGUUGGACAUAGUACGGCGUGAUAAGUGUUCUUCGCCGGUGCCUCGCAAAGAGGGUGGCCGAUCGGGAUGUUGUGCUCCAAACCGUCUUCGGACAAUCUCUGACGACUGGACCUCAAAUCGAGUAAGACUACCCGCUGAACUUAAGCAUAUCAAUAAGCGGAGGA